AUUGAACGCUGGCGGCAUGCCUUACACAUGCAAGUCGAACGGCAGCACGGGUGCUUGCACCUGGUGGCGAGUGGCGAACGGGUGAGUAAUACAUCGGAACGUACCUUAUCGUGGGGGCUAACGCAGCGAAAGCUGUGCUAAUACCGCAUACGCCCUGUGGGGGAAAGCGGGGGAUCGCAAGCCCUCGCGCGAGUAGAGCGGCCGAUGCCUGAUUAGCUUGUUGGUGGGGUAAAAGCCCACCAAGGCGACGAUCAGUAGCUGGUCUGAGAGGACGAUCAGCCACACUGGGACUGAGACACGGCCCAGACUCCUACGGGAGGCAGCAGUGGGGAAUUUUGGACAAUGGGGGCAACCCUGAUCCAGCAAUGCCGCGUGAGUGAAGAAGGCCUUCGGGUUGUAAAGCUCUUUUGUCAGGGGAGAAACACCGGCUCUAACACAGUCCGGGAAUGACGGUACCUGAAGAAUAAGCACCGGCUAACUACGUGCCAGCCGCCGCAGUAA
rnacentral:rRNA from 1 species